CAAUAUCAUCUGCAGUACCAUCAGCAACAGUAUCAACUGCAGUACCACCAGCAACAAUAUCUGCAGGACCAUCAGGUAUUCUGUUUUGCAUACUUAUGCAGUUUUGUGGGUGUUAUGUGUAUUUGUGUAGGUAUAUAUGAAAUUUAAACAUUGCAUUUCCUUAUUUUUACAUUACUUUAUUUAUUUACUUUUUUUGUCAUAACUUUU